UACGGGGGGGGCAAGCGUUGUUCGGAUUUAUUGGGCGUAAAGAGCUCGUAGGUGGUUCGGUAAGUCGGAUGUGAAAUCUCCAGGCUCAACCUGGAGGGGUCAUUCGAUACUGCCGUGACUAGAGUUCGGUAGGGGAGUGUGGAAUUCCUGGUGGAGCGGUGAAAUGCGCAGAUAUCAGGAGGAACACCGAUGGCGAAGGCAGGUCUCUGGGCAUUAACUGACGCUGAGGAGCGAAAGCAUGGGGAGCGAACAGG
rnacentral:rRNA from 1 species